rnacentral:rRNA from 1 species
UUAGUGGCGGACGGGUGAGUAACGCGUGGGCAACCUGCCUUACACAGGGGGAUAACACUUAGAAAUAGGUGCUAAAACCGCAUAAGCGCACAGCUUCGCAUGAAGCGGUGUGAAAAACUCCGGUGGUGUAAGAUGGACCCGCGUCUGAUUAGCUUGUUGGCGGGGUAACGGCCCACCAAGGCGACGAUCAGUAGCCGGCCUGAGAGGGCGGACGGCCACAUUGGGACUGAGACACGGCCCAAACUCCUACGGGAGGCAGCAGUGGGGAAUAUUGGACAAUGGGGGGAACCCUGAUCCAGCGACGCCGCGUGAGUGAAGAAGUAUUUCGGUAUGUAAAGCUCUAUCAGCAGGGAAGAAAGAAAUGACGGUACCUGACUAAGAAGCCCCGGCUAACUACGUGCCAGCAGCCGCGGUAAUACGUAGGGGGCAAGCGUUAUCCGGAUUUACUGGGUGUAAAGGGAGCGUAGACGGCAGUGCAAGUCUGAAGUGAAAGGCGGGGGCCCAACCCCCGGACUGCUUUGGAAACUGUGCUGCUGGAGUGCAGGAGAGGCAAGUGGAAUUCCUAGUGUAGCGGUGAAAUGCGUAGAUAUUAGGAGGAACACCAGUGGCGAAGGCGGCUUGCUGGACUGUAACUGACGUUGAGGCUCGAAAGCGUGGGGAGCAAACAGGAUUAGAUACCCUGGUAGUCCACGCCGUAAACGAUGAUCACUAGGUGUCGGUGGGUAUGGACCCAUCGGUGCCGCAGCAAACGCAGUAAGUGAUCCACCUGGGGAGUACGUUCGCAAGAAUGAAACUCAAAGGAAUUGACGGG